CCUACGGGAGGCAGCAGUGGGGAAUCUUGCGCAAUGGGCGAAAGCCUGACGCAGCCAUGCCGCGUGAAUGAUGAAGGUCUUAGGAUUGUAAAAUUCUUUCAGUAGGGACGAUAAUGACGGUACCUACAGAAGAAGCCCCGGCUAACUUCGUGCCAGCAGCCGCGGUAAUACGAAGGGGGCUAGCGUUGCUCGGAAUUACUGGGCGUAAAGGGAGCGUAGGCGGGUUAUCAAGUUGGAGGUGAAAGCCCAGGGCUCAACCUUGGAAUUGCCUUCAAAACUGAUAGCCUAGAGUAUGAUAGAGGUAUGUGGAACUCCGAGUGUAGAGGUGAAAUUCGUAGAUAUUCGGAAGAACACCAGUGGCGAAGGCGACAUACUGGGUCAUGACUGACGCUGAGGCUCGAAAGCGUGGGGAGCAAACAGGAUUAGAUACCCUGGUAGUCCACGCUGUAAACGAUGAUUGCUAGUUGUCGGACGGCAUGCCGUUCGGUGACGCAGCUACGACAUAAGACAUACCGCCGCGGGAGGUACGGUCGCGAGAAGUAAACGUACGUUAAGAAGUAGUUAGGCGUGAGAGUUGCGACGGACGACGACGAGGGAGGAGG
rnacentral:rRNA from 1 species